rnacentral:rRNA from 1 species
AGUGAACGCUGGCGGUAGGCCUAACACAUGCAAGUCGAACGGCAGCACAGAGGAGCUUGCUCCUUGGGUGGCGAGUGGCGGACGGGUGAGGAAUACAUCGGAAUCUACUCUGUCGUGGGGGAUAACGUAGGGAAACUUACGCUAAUACCGCAUACGACCUACGGGGGAAAGCAGGGGAUCUUCGGACCUUGCGCGAUUGAAUGAGCCGAUGUCGGAGUAGCUGGUUGGCGGGGUAAAGGCCCACCAAGGCGACGAUCCGUAGCUGGUCUGAGAGGAUGAUCAGCCACACUGGAACUGAGACACGGUCCAGACUCCUACGGGAGGCAGCAGUGGGGAAUAUUGGACAAUGGGCGCAAGCCUGAUCCAGCCAUACCGCGUGGGUGAAGAAGGCCUUCGGGUUGUAAAGCCCUUUUGUUGGGAAAGAAAUCCAUCUGGUUAAUACCCGGGUGGGAUGACGGUACCCAAAGAAUAAGCACCGGCUAACUUCGUGCCAGCAGCCGCCGUAA